GACGAACCGUGCGAACGUUAUUCGGAAUCACUGGGCUUAAAGGGCGCGUAGGCGGGCGCGAAAGUCAGGGGUGAAAGCCCACGGCUCAACCGUGGAAGUGCCUCUGAUACUUCGGGCCUCGAGGGAGGUAGGGGCGUGCGGAACUUCCGGUGGAGCGGUGAAAUGCGUAGAUAUCGGAAGGAACGUCGGUGGCGAAAGCGGCGCGCUGGACCUCUUCUGACGCUGAGGCGCGAAAGCCAGGGGAGCGAACGGG
rnacentral:rRNA from 1 species